rnacentral:lncRNA from 1 species
UUUUGCCUGGAUGGCAGAGUGAUAUUUCUUCCAUCAGGAAGUAUUCUGACUUGCCUAAGGCUGCACGUGAGUAUGUAGAAAGGAUAGAGGAGCUUGUUGGGGUACCUACCCAUUACAUUGGUAUAGGACCUGGUCGUGAUGCCCUUAUCUAUAAAUGAUUCUAGAUUUUUUCAUCAUAUUGGCAGAAUCAUAUUCUUCAAAUUGCUGGUAAACGUUAGGCUAAGAUUGUAGUAACAUCAGGAAUAAUCAAUUUGAUGUCAUUGCUUUAUGUAACAAUAAUGUAUUUGUUGUCUUUAUCUGCAUUUGUUGUCUUAAUCCAUUAUAUAGGUAAUCUUUCCCUUCCCUUCCUACAGAACAAGGGAUUUCCCGGGGUGGUUUGAAAGUUUUUCCCUCUAAUUGGUGAUGAUUUCGAUUCUAGUAAGUUGGUGUACACAGGCAGCUACUGUAAACCUAGUCCUAUAUACCUAUUAAAAUGGUUCAAUAGUUAAGUUAACCUUUUCAAAAAAAAAUAUAAAAAUUGUUCAAUAUUUUCAGAAGUUCCAUAUUGAAGAGGAAUACAUAAGUUCAUCAUUCAAAUUGUAAGCAUUAACAAAGCUACUAGCCUCUGCUGUACCUGUAAUUGCACCCAUUGUGUCCCAAUUGUAAUUAUCAGCGUAGAAAUUUGCAACUGAAAUAUCAUCUUUCAGUGAAACUCCCGAAUCUGUGAAACAACUGAUGUUACGAUCUUGACUUUUAUCAGGCUGUUGAUCAUCUCUUUUCAGUUGUCCAAUCUGUUGAAGAAAUUCAUUCAGAUCAAUCUGAGGUUUCUCUUGAUCAUGAACCACUGCUUUGUUUCUUUUCGGGAAUUCUACUUCCUUUUUCUCCUUCACUUGUGGAAUUCUGAGGUGUGGUUGUUUAGUAUAGUUUUGUAUUUCAUUCUUGGGAUCACUGCUUGAUGGACUUGAGAAUGAUACUGCUGCCUCUGUUCUCUUAAGUUCUUGAAGUUUUUGGUGAAUUACAUGAACAUUAGGCUGAGCACAUAAGUUUCUAUUGGCUGCCAAAUAUCUGGAGAACUUCAGGAUGCAUAUUGAAUCUUCUUUAUCCCUCCUGUUUCAUGUAUCUUAAUACCAUUUUGUACUUUCCUGUAUUGUGACUUCUACUUGUUUUCUUUAUUUCAUCGAAAUAGGUGGAGUAUGAAGUUUUGCCUGGAUGGCAGAGUGAUAUUUCUUCCAUCAGGAAGUAUUCUGACUUGCCUAAGGCUGCACGUGAGUAUGUAGAAAGGAUAGAGGAGCUUGUUGGGGUACCUAUCCAUUACAUUGGUAUAGGACCUGGUCGUGAUGCCUUUCUCUACAAGUGAUUUUGGAAUUUUUUUUCAUCAUAUUGGCAAAAUCAUGUUUUUCAAAUUGUUGGAAAACCAAUCAGUUUGUUCUUAAACUGAUAUAAUUGCUGAUGUUUGGUUCAGUGUACUCAAUUGUUGGAUAAAAGGGCCAAGUCUCAUGCGAGGAUUUAUAGUCUCUGCACACACCACAUGUUACUCACUGUUUGGCAUUCAUUAAUCUAUCACCACGGGCAGGAAAGUUUCAUGUUUUUAAAUGAGUUGAAUGCUCUAAAUAUUGAUUAUGAUAAACAUAGAUUUAAAAUAUAUAUAAGCAUCUCACCUUUGCGACACCUAUCAUGCUAUAUGUAUUAUUUAUAUAGGCUAAAAGGCUCUUUCGUCCAUGAUCAACUGUUAUGGGGGCACACUUUUUC